AGUGGCGGACGGGUGAGUAACGCGUGAGAAUCUACCUUCAGGACGGGGACAACAGCUGGAAACGGCUGCUAAUACCCGAUAUGCCGAAAGGUGAAAAGUUAUUUCGCCUGGAGAGGAGCUCGCGUCCGAUUAGCUAGUUGGUGGGGUAAAAGCUUACCAAGGCAACGAUCGGUAGCUGGUCUGAGAGGAUGAGCAGCCACACUGGAACUGAGACACGGUCCAGACUCCUACGGGAGGCAGCAGUGGGGAAUUUUCCGCAAUGGGCGAAAGCCUGACGGAGCAACGCCGCGUGGGGGAAGAAGGUUUUUGGAUUGUAAACCCCUUUUCUCAAGGAAGAACAAAAUGACGGUACUUGAGGAAUCAGCCUCGGCUAACUCCGUGCCAGCAGCCGCGGUAAUACGGAGGAGGCAAGCGUUAUCCGGAAUUAUUGGGCGUAAAGCGUUCGUAGGCGGCUAUUCAAGUCUGCUGUCAAAGACCGAGGCUCAACCUCGGGUCGGCAGUGGAAACUGGAUAGCUAGAGGUCGGUAGGGGCAGAGGGAAUUCCCAGUGUAGCGGUGAAAUGCGUAGAUAUUGGGAAGAACACCGGUGGCGAAAGCGCUCUGCUGGGCCGAACCUGACGCUGAGGGACGAAAGCUAGGGGAGCGAAUGGGAUUAGAUACCCC
rnacentral:rRNA from 1 species